GACGAACGCUGGCGGCGUGCUUAACACAUGCAAGUCGAACGAAGAGCGAUGGAAGCUUGCUUCUACCAAUCUUAGUGGCGAACGGGUGAGUAACGCGUAAUCAACCUGCCCUUCAGAGGGGGACAACAGUUGGAAACGACUGCUAAUACCGCAUACGAUCCAAUCUCGGCAUCGGGACUGGAUGAAAGGUGGCCUCUAUUUAUAAGCUAUCACUGAAGGAGGGGAUUGCGUCUGAUUAGCUAGUUGGAGGGGUAACGGCCCACCAAGGCGAUGAUCAGUAGCCGGUCUGAGAGGAUGAACGGCCACAUUGGGACUGAGACACGGCCCAGACUCCUACGGGAGGCAGCAGUGGGGAAUCUUCCGCAAUGGACGAAAGUCUGACGGAGCAACGCCGCGUGAGUGAUGACGGCCUUCGGGUUGUAAAGCUCUGUUAAUCGGGACGAAUGGUUCUUGUGCGAAUAGUGCGAGGAUUUGACGGUACCGGAAUAGAAAGCCACGGCUAACUACGUG
rnacentral:rRNA from 1 species